rnacentral:tRNA from 1 species
GGAUAUGGCCUAGCUGGUUAAGGCGCCAGAUUGUGGCUCUGGAGAUCGUGGGUUCGAAUCCCAUUAUC